rnacentral:rRNA from 1 species
AUUGAACGCUGGCGGCAUGCUUUACACAUGCAAGUCGAACGGUAACAGGGAGCUUGCUCCGCUGACGAGUGGCGAACGGGUGAGUAAUAUAUCGGAACGUACCCAAGAGUGGGGGAUAACGUAGCGAAAGUUACGCUAAUACCGCAUACGAUCUAUGGAUGAAAGCAGGGGACCUUCGGGCCUUGUGCUCCUGGAGCGGCCGAUAUCUGAUUAGCUAGUUGGUGAGGUAAAGGCUCACCAAGGCGACGAUCAGUAGCUGGUCUGAGAGGACGACCAGCCACACUGGAACUGAGACACGGUCCAGACUCCUACGGGAGGCAGCAGUGGGGAAUUUUGGACAAUGGGCGAAAGCCUGAUCCAGCAAUGCCGCGUGAGUGAAGAAGGCCUUCGGGUUGUAAAGCUCUUUUGUCAGGGAAGAAACGGCUGUGGCUAAUAUCCACGGCUAAUGACGGUACCUGAAGAAUAAGCACCGGCUAACUACGUG